rnacentral:rRNA from 1 species
AUUGAACGCUGGCGGCAGGCCUAACACAUGCAAGUCGAGCGGAGCGGCGGACGGGUGAGUAAUGCCUAGGAAUCUGCCUGGUAGUGGGGGAUAACGUCCGGAAACGGGCGCUAAUACCGAAUACCAUCAGAUGAACCAAUAUGGGAUUAGCUUGUAGGUAAGGUAACGGCUUACCUAGGCGACGAUCCCUAGCUGGUCUGAGAGGAUGAUCAGCCACACUGGGACUGAGACACGGCCCAGACUCCUACGGGAGGCAGCAGUGGGGAAUAUUGGACAAUGGGCGAAAGCCUGAUCCAGCCAUGCCGCGUGUGUGAAGAAGGUCUUCGGAUUGUAAAGCACUUUAAGUUGGGAGGCGUUACCAACAGAAUAAGCACCGGCUAACUUCGUGCCAGCAGCCGCGGUAAUAC